GCUCAGAUUGAACGCUGGCGGCAGGCCUAACACAUGCAAGUCGAACGGUAACAGGAAUCAGCUUGCUGAUUCGCUGACGAGUGGCGGACGGGUGAGUAAUGUCUGGGAAACUGCCUGAUGGAGGGGGAUAACUACUGGAAACGGUAGCUAAUACCGCAUAACGUCGCAAGACCAAAGAGGGGGACCUUCGGGCCUCUUGCCAUCGGAUGUGCCCAGAUGGGAUUAGCUAGUAGGUGGGGUAACGGCUCACCUAGGCGACGAUCCCUAGCUGGUCUGAGAGGAUGACCAGCCACACUGGAACUGAGACACGGUCCAGACUCCUACGGGAGGCAGCAGUA
rnacentral:rRNA from 1 species